rnacentral:rRNA from 1 species
UGGGGAAUAUUGGACAAUGGGGGCAACCCUGAUCCAGCAAUGCCGCGUGUGUGAAGACGGCCUGCGGGUUGUAAAGCACUUUCAGGGGGGAGGAGGGUUUGUUGGUUAAGAGCUGAUGAGAUGGACGUUACCCACAGAAGAAGCACCGGCUAACUAUGGGCCAGCAGCCGCGGUAAUACAUAGGGUGCAAGCGUUGUCCGGAAGUAUUGGGCGUAACGAGCUCGUAGGGGGUUCGUCACGUCGGAGGUG